rnacentral:rRNA from 1 species
AAGAACCCCUGUGAGGGGAGUGAAAUAGAACCUGAAACCGUGUACGUACAAGCAGUAGGAGCCUCUUCGUGGGGUGACUGCGUACCUUUUGUAUAAUGGGUCAGCGACUUAUAUUCAGUGGCAAGGUUAACCAUUUAGGGGAGCCGUAGGGAAACCGAGUCUUAACUGGGCGUUCAGUCUCUGGAUAUAGACCCGAAACCGGGUGAUCUAGCCAUGGGCAGGUUGAAGGUUGAGUAACAUCAACUGGAGGACCGAACCGACUAAUGUUGAAAAAUUAGCGGAUGACUUGUGGCUAGGGGUGAAAGGCCAAUCAAACUCGGAGAUAGCUGGUUCUCCCCGAAAGCUAUUUAGGUAGCGCCUCGGACGAAUACUACUGGGGGUAGAGCACUGUUAAGGCUAGGGGGUCAUCCCGACUUACCAACC